UGGGGAAUUUUGGACAAUGGGGGAAACCCUGAUCAAGCCAUCCCGCGUGUGCGAUGAAGGCCUUCGGGUUGUAAAGCACUUUUGGCAGGAAAGAAACGUCAUGGGUUAAUACCCCGUGAAACUGACGGUACCUGCAGAAUAAGCACCGGCUAACUACGUGCCAGCAGCCGCGGUAAUACGUAGGGUGCAAGCGUUAAUCGGAAUUACUGGGCGUAAAGCGUGCGCAGGCGGUUCGGAAAGAAAGAUGUGAAAUCCCAGAGCUCAACUUUGGAACUGCAUUUUUAACUACCGGGCUAGAGUGUGGCAGAGGGAGGUGGAAUUCCGCGUGUAGCAGUGAAAUGCGUAGAUAUGCGGAGGAACACCGAUGGCGAAGGCAGCCUCCUGGGAUAACACUGACGCUCAUGCACGAAAGCGUGGGGAGCAAACAGG
rnacentral:rRNA from 1 species